UGGGGAAUAUUGGACAAUGGGCGAAAGCCUGAUCCAGCCAUGCCGCGUGUGUGAAGAAGGUCUUCGGAUUGUAAAGCACUUUAAGUUGGGAGGAAGGGCAGUAAGCGAAUACCUUGCUGUUUUGACGUUACCGACAGAACAAGCACCGGCUAACUCUGUGCCAGCAGCCGCGGUAAUACAGAGGGUGCAAGCGUUAAUAGGAAUUACUGGGCGUAAAGCGCGCGUAGGUGGUUCGUUAAGUUGAAUGUGAAAGCCCCGGGCUCAACCUGGGAACUGCAUCCAAAACGAGCGAGCUAGAGUAGGGCAGAGGGUGGUGGAAUUUCCUGUGUAGCGGUGAAAUGCGUAGAUAUAGGAAGGAACACGAGUGGCGAGGGCGACCACCUGGGCUCAUACUGACGCAUAGGUGCGAAAGCGUGGGGAGCAAACAGG
rnacentral:rRNA from 1 species